UGCAAACAUUGACUGUGCCUUCUC
rnacentral:piRNA from 1 species